UACGAAGGGUGCAAACGUUGCUCGGAAUCAUUGGGCGUAAAGCGCACGUAGGCGGCUUCAAAAGUCGGAUGUGAAAUCCCUGGGCUCAACCGAGGAAGUGCAUCCGAAACUGCGGAGCUUGAGUAUGGAAGAGGGUCGCGGAAUUCCCAGUGUAGAGGUGAAAUUCGUAGAUAUUGGGAAGAACACCGGUGGCGAAGGCGGCGACCUGGUCCGAUACUGACGCUGAGGCGCGAAAGCGUGGGGAGCAAACAGG
rnacentral:rRNA from 1 species